rnacentral:rRNA from 1 species
GACGAACCGUGCAAACGUUAUUCGGAAUCACUGGGCUUAAAGGGCGCGUAGGCGGGCGAUCAAGUCCGGGGUGAAAUCCUCCAGCUUAACUGGAGAAGUGCCUCGGAUACUGGUCGCCUCGAGGAGGGUAGGGGCAUCUGGAACUAGCGGUGGAGCGGUGAAAUGCGUUGAUAUCGCUAGGAACUCCGAUGGCGAAGGCGAGGUGCUGGACCCUUUCUGACGCUGAGGCGCGAAAGCCAGGGGAGCGAACGGG